rnacentral:lncRNA from 1 species
GCAGCGGCCACGACUCAGGCUCGGUGAGAGGCCGCCGGUCUCCAGCGCGCGAAUGCGCCGCGUCUCGCCGAGGGGCGCGUGUGCGCGGAGUGUGUCGGAGUGCCGGGCUGCUGGGGAGGGGGAGAGGGUGUGUCCUGGGGAGGAAUGCUGCUAAACUCCAGAAAUAACUCCCUUCACUCCAUGCUCUUAUCGCACUUAGGACGGCUUUUGCGUUGCCCAGGGGCGGGGGGAAUUGUAAGAAGGUAACAGGCAAGUUCCACCGGCGAUUUCUAAAGCCACUCCCCAUUCAGCUGUGGUUUGAGGCAUUCCCUAAAGACCUCUGUUCAUUUAGGAAACGUUGCAGCUCUCAAGGGGGGAAAUCCAAGAAGCAGCUAGUAGUGAAUUUGUAUUACUGAUAAAAGAAAUCAACGUCCAGCUUGAGGUUCCUUCUGUACCCUUCCACACAAGGUAUCUUUCAGUUGUACUCUCCAUCUGCGUUACCUCUUGUGAG